rnacentral:misc_RNA from 1 species
GUGAAUCAUCGAAUUUUUGAACGCAAAUUGCACUCUCCUCGGUGAGUAUGCCUGUUUGAGUUUCAGCCUCUGAAAAAUCGACAUCGUUGCUGUUUCGCGGUUGCGUUCGUCGGCGAUUGGGUUAUCUUAAAUCCUUUUGGGUUUUACGCGCCUUAAAAUUUUCUUUUUGGUUCCUUGUACGUUUCUCAGAUUUAUUUCUUUUCCCGUUUUAUGUAUCGUUUUUUAUUCGACGUAACCAUCAUCUCAUCUC